CACCCCGCCCCUUCCCACCCGGGACUACCGGCGGCUCCGCGGGGUCCGCCCCUUGCGCCCGGGGGUCUGCGGAGCGCGCGGGCCUCCCCAGACCCCUGUCGUCGUCUGACUCCUCCGGGCGUGGGCCGGGGGCUGGCGGCCGGGACCCCCGGCUCUGGGCCUCCCAGUUUGGGCCUCAGUUUCCACAUCCACAAACCGGGGAGAUCCCUUUCUGGAGGCCGAGUGAGCGGGCUCCUCCCCAAAGCAAAGAGAACUCCGAGCCUCGUACUCUUCCCGUCUGAAGUCCGUGGGAACACCAGCUCCAACAGAUCAUUCUGCCCUUUCUUGGAAACAAGAUUCCAGGGAUGUUCUUCCAAAGGGAACCUUAGAUUUUGCGGCGGAACCUGUGUCCAGAUAGGAAGCCUACACACGGAUGGAGGGAGGCUGCCUGAGUGCAGGAAACGAACACGUCUUGACUAACCUCAGCAUUUAGCUGGGAUGCGCCCAGGAUGCCAGUGUUCCCCAGGAACUCCGUGUGAAAACCACUGAACUAGAGUUUGGAAGUUAAAAAAACUGCUCAGCUUCCCGCCUCUGCGAAGUUUGCCCAUCUGUCUGGAAAAAGGCAGUUCAAGCCAUGUUUUUCCCAAGCAAUAGAAAAAGCCAGUCUCAACAAAGCGAGAAGUUUGUCCUAAGAAGCUGGAAGUUUACUUAAGAGAUAUUUCAACAGCCUAUGUCUUCGAAAGUGGGGGAAUUUUUCUUGGAGUAUACCUGCACCAGUAUGCCCACCUUGACUUAAUCGUAUGGGCGUCUACAAGUCUUGUUCAUAAAAUGUGUCGAGCUCGAGGAAGAAAAGGAUAUUUGUUCCAGAUAAAUGAGCCUGUAUGAGAGAAGCAGCUCCUGCAAACCUACGUUUUUGGACGCUGUUGUCCUGCUUUUCUCCUGGGACUACCAGGAAAUGUCAGCUGUCAGAUCAGAGCAAAUCAAAAUUUAAAGAGUCCUAAAUGAAAAAUAAAUGUGUUGUUAUUUGACUUAAUAGUCUCAUUAUUCAUAGAUUUUCUUAAAUUGAUAAGCAGAUAAUAUUAUCACCUAGAAUAUUUGUUUUAUAACCCAAGUCUGUGAUGAACCUGGUAAACACGGCAGAAGUCUUCCCUCUCUUAAUUAGCCUUUUGGGAGAAAACCUGUUUUGAAUCACUGCCUGCAGCCCCGGGAGUCUUAUAAGGAGCAAGAGUAGAUUAAGCUCCGGGAGGGGCACAUGCCGAGAGCUGAUUUUUACAUAUGACUUGGUGAAUCUCAAACAGAAACUGGCUAACAUGCCAGAUGGGACCAGCGUAAAAGUGACAAGACUACAUCAAUGUCAAGGGCAGGGAUCUAAAGGAUUUGACAUAUUAAACAGUUAUACACCAAAAUAUUAUAAAAAACAAAAUUAAAGACAAAUGACUUAAGUUUUAAAAUUUUGCUAUGUGUGUGACAGAGUUGAUGCCAUCUGUACGUAAGAAAUUCUCACAGAUCAAUAAGAAAAAGACAAAUGCCUCAGUAGAAAAAUGACCAAAUAAUAGGAAAGUCACAAAAUAAAAAAUACAAAAGGCUAAUACACCUUUAAUGUCUAGAAUAGUGACUGUCACAUAGCGGGCACUCAGUAAAUACCCACUGUCUGACUGAAUGUCUACGAAAAACAUUUGAUUUCAGGAAUAAUAAAGAACUGCAAAUUAAAAUAACAGUGAAAUAAAUUGUUUUCACCGGCCAGCUUUGUAACACUGAAAAAAAAAAAAAGUACCUGGUGUUGGUAAUGGUGAGGGGAAAUGUACCAAUUACCCACUGUGGGUGGGAGGGUAAAGUGGUAUCAACUUUUCAGUGGAACAGUUGACAAUAUGCAAAAAGCUUUGUCUAAAACCUUUGACACAGCAAUUUACAGGAAGUUAUUAUGAGAAAAUACUUACAAAUGCCCAAACCUACGUGUACAAUAGUAGGGUAGGUGAUAUACAUUUUUGAUUGUUGCUUCUUGGGUCAGUCUUUUAACAUACCCUCUAGGGCUUAGUGGUUGGUGCAUAGACAUGGGUUACAUCCAAGUCAGGCCCCUCCUUCCACCGAAUUAUCCAAGUGGGAGAUGGAAAAGGAGUUCUGUCUUUGUCCUUGGCAUGCUGGCUGUCAGGGUGGGCUCUAGAGCUGACAGCGGCUGUGACCUCCACUGGAAUGUGGCCAAAAUAUAGAAGUAGAAAUGAGACAGACAGACAGAGGGAGAGAGAAAGAGAAAGUGUUCUGGUGAAACUUGAGUCAAUAAAUCCAGUCAGCUUUAAGGCCAGUAUACUUUCUUCCUUUCUGUGGUUUUGUGAACCAGUUAAUUCUACUUUUUUGCUAAAUUUAGCAUGAGCUUGGACUUCCACUUCCUAUCAAGAUGGAGUAAGAGGGGCCAAAUUUACCCACCCACCAGAAACAACUAAAAAUCUAGACAAAAUAUUUUUUUUAAAUAGCCAUUUUCGAGAUAUUGGACAUCAGGCCUGAUGAAAUGGGGAACAAAUGAGGUAAGCCCUGUGAGUGCCCAGCCUACUGCCUUGAGAGAUUUUCCAGAUGGUGGCAUGGAAAGGUGGAAUCUGGGUGGAGCCUCGAAGAUUCCCUGAGGUGAGGAGCUGAAGCUAGAGUCCAGAGAGACCAAGACAGCUAGAGUUUGCAAGACAGAAUACCAGAUAGGAGAGAGCUACACACAGACAGAAAAAUGACAACAACAAAAAUCUAGAGAUCUUCAGAGGGUCCCCCUCACCAGCACACGAAUAUGAGGAAACUGUUCGAGGUCAGGGAAAGAGCCAUCUGAAAGUAUUACACGAACAGUAACAAGAACUCAUACAGGGCCUGAAUAGUGCCUGUUCCCGCUAGCCAGAUUGGAAAUCUUACAAUUCACAAGUCAUUAGGCAAAGUACUCAGAAGAAUUUUGCCUCAGUUGUGGGGCAAAAUUGGCUCUCGACUAAAUGCUGCCCUGGUCCUGCCUAACAAAUUAAAAAAAAAAAAAAAAAAAGACUUGAAAGGAUCAAAUUGUUUCCAAACAACUGUGCCCCAGAACAAACUCAAGAAUUGGGACUACAAAAAUAUCCAGCACUCAGCAAGGUAAGUUCACAGUGAAUGGAAUCAAUGAAAAUUUACUGGGCAUACUGGGAAAUAUGACCCACAAUGAGGAAAGUAAACAAACUGACUCAGAACUGAUGCAGAUAUUAGAAUUAGCAGGCAAAGACAUUAAAACAGCUAUUAUAACUGUUCCCUAGAUUCAGAGGCUCAAGGAAGGAUUGACUACGUUAAGUAGAGAUGUGGAAGAUAUUUUUAAAAGACCCCAAAUCAACUUCUAGAAAUAAAAACUGUAAUGUCUGAGAUAAUGAGUAUACUGGAUGGGAUUAACAGCAGAUUAUUCACAAUGUUUUCAAAGCCCAUCCAUGUUGUAGCAUGUGUUAGUACUUCAUUCAUUUUCAUGCCCGAAUUAUAUUCCAUUGUAUGGA